rnacentral:rRNA from 1 species
GACAGAGGGUGCAAACGUUGUUCGGAAUUACUGGGCGUAAAGCGAGUGUAGGCGGUCUGUAAAGUCAGGUGUGAAAGCCCCGGGCUCAACCCGGGAAGUGCACUUGAAACUCACAGGCUAGAGUAUCGGAGAGGUUGGUGGAAUUCUCGGUGUAGAGGUGAAAUUCGUAGAUAUCGAGAGGAACACCGGUGGCGAAGGCGGCCUUCUGGACAGUGACUGACGCUGAGACGCGAAAGCGUGGGGAGCAAACAGG